GGAUCUGUGGUAGCUCAGUUGGUGGAGCAUUGGACCCAUAUUCCAUGGGAUGCAGGUUAAAUACCUGCAAAGAGUAAUCCC